UAGGGAAUAUUGGACAAUGGGUGCAAGCCUGAUCCAGCCAUGCCGCGUGCAGGAAGAAGGCUUUCUGAGUUGUAAACUGCUUUUGCCAGGGGAUAAAAUACGGGUGCGCCCGGACUUGAAGGUACCUGGUGAAUAAGCCACGGCUAACUACGUGCCAGCAGCCGCGGUAAUACGUAGGUGGCAAGCGUUGUCCGGAUUUAUUGGGUUUAAAGGGUGCGUAGGCGGUUUUUUAAGUCAGUGGUGAAAUACGGCAGCUUAACUGUCGAGGUGCCAUUGAUACUGGGAAACUUGAGUACUGAUGAGGUAGGCGGAAUGGACGGUGUAGCGGUGAAAUGCUUAGAUAUCGUCCAGAACACCGAUAGCGAAGGCAGCUUACUAAGGAGUAACUGACGCUGAGGCACGAAAGUGUGGGGAUCAAACAGGAUUAGAUACCCUGGUAGUCCACACUGUAAACGAUGAUUACUCGAUGUUGGCGAUAUACAGCCAGCGUCUUAGCGAAAGCGAUAAGUAAUCCACCUGGGGAGUACGCCGGCAACGGUGA
rnacentral:rRNA from 1 species